rnacentral:tRNA from 1 species
UGGUUGUUCAGUGGUAGAAUUCUCGCCUGUCAUGUGGGAGGCCUGGGUUCGAUUCCCAGCCA